CCAUAGUAACGGCGAGUGAAAGGGGAAGAGCCCAGCGCUGAAUCCAUCGAUCACUGGUCGCUUGGAAUUGUAGCGUAUAGGUGCGGCUAUCCGCUCGUUUCGUGCACCCAAAGUCCCCUUGAGCGGGGCCAUAGUCCAAAGAAGGUGCUAGACCUGUACGGGUGGCGAGGCGGUCGGUUGGUCGCUCCUUGGAGUCGGGUUGCCUGGGAUCGCAGCCCAAAGUUGGUGGUAGACCUCAUCUAAGGCUAAAUAUGGCCACGAAACCGAUAGCAAACAAGUACCGUGAGGGAAAGUUGCAAAGAACUUUGAAGAGAGAGUUCAAGAGGGCGUGAAACCGCCGAGAUUGAAACGGAUAGAGUUGACGAAACUCGAUCGCAUUCAUCCGAUCCGCCUAGCGGUUCGGCGGUUGUUGACUUCCUCGAUGAGGGCAACGCCGUCGCUGGCUGUUGGGUGUUAGAUUGGUGUAUUUGCGGUCGGUAUGCGCCGAGAGCUUUGCGAGCGCAUGUUGACGUUGAUGUAGUGGACCACUCCCUCCGGGCGUGGAACCCUGCAUUGAUUGAGGCAUGUCGUUCGUAGGGUGUUGCUGGGUGACGUCUCCGCUAUGGUGGGUCGGCUUUGUUGGGCUGUUGCGGUUGCUGGGUGAUCGCAUGCGAGCGCCUGCAGCUUGCGAUGGUACGAUGAGGUGCGGACGCGCUUGAGACGUGCAUCUCGGUGUGAACGUUGACCACCUAUCCGACCCGUCUUGAAACACGGAU
rnacentral:rRNA from 1 species